AGAGAAGGAAAGAGAAAGGAAAGAGAAAGAAAGAGAAAGGAAAGAAAGAGAAAGAGAUAGAAGAAGGCAUCUGAGACAUCUGAUUCACAUAUGCACACACAUGCAUAAUACACACACAUGCAAAUACAUAUGUGCACAUGUGCAUGCACACAUACAUACACAUAUGCACACACAUAUAUAAACACACGCACACAAACAUACACAUGCCUGUGCACACACACACAGAGGCAAGUUCAAGAUCAUUUUUGCUAUGAUAGUUACCUUUCUUAUCUCUGUAACAAAACACCCGAGGAAAGUAACCUAAGAAAAGGCUUCUUUCAGUUUCCAGGCUCGGGGUCCAGCCCUUCAUGAUGUGGAAGCAGGCAGCAGGAGUGUGAGGGAGCUCGGCUCACUGUGUUUACAGGCAGGGAACAAGACCCAUGAAUGGUGGUGUUCAACAUUCAGCUCGUUUGCCUUCUGUUUUUCUUUGGUUUGGUUUGAUUUGCUUUCUUUAUUUGCUUUUUUCAAGCAGGAUUUCUCUGUGUAGCCCUGGCUGUCCUGCAGUUCGACCUGUAGACCAGGCUGGCCUUCAACACAGACAUCCAUCUACCUCCACCUUCCAAGUGUUGGGGUGGAAGGUAUACCGUGUCUAGUCCAUCUCUUGCUUUUUUUUUUCUUCAGUGCAAGACUCCAUUCUGUGGAAGGGUGGCUGCUUGCAUUCAAAUUUGUCUCCCCUUCCCUGUUAAAUCUCUCUGAAACCCUCACAGACCUGUGCAGAGAGGUGUCUCACGGUGAUUCUACACCCAGUCAGACCGAAAAUGAAGAUAACCAUCACACUUGACUACGUAGUCAAUUUUAGGCCAGCCUGUGCUACCUGAGACACAAAAAGAAGCUCAUCUUGUAUUGAUCAUAUUCUUUUGAAAAUGUUUCCCUUGUCUGUAGUUUAUUGGCAUCAGUUUAUGAUUGACUCUUAUGACAACAUAAUUUAAAUUUGAUCGUAGUUGAUUUUGUCCCUCUAUUUUACUGUUUUUUGUUUGGGUGUGUUUUCAAGACAGGACUUCUUUGUGUAGUUCUGACUGUCCUGAAACUCGCUAUAUAGACCAAGCUGGCUUCAACCCCAGAGACAUGCCUGCGUCUGCCUCCUGAGUGCUGAGAUUAAAGGCAUGUGCCACUAUGCCUGGUUACAAUUUGAUUUUAAAUAUCCCACUGAAGAAAUAUUUCCCCAUCAAAGGCCAAAAAGAAGUCUUUUUUAUUAUUCAACAAAAACGUUUUAGCUCUUGGAGGGGAACUCAGAGCCUCAUGCAAGCUAAGUAGAGGUCUACCUCAGAUCAAUAUUCCUGGCCCUUCCCUUUAUUCUAAAAGUUUCAAGUUUUGCUUUGACUAGAUCUUCCAUUCACACAGAGCUUGCACCUGGAAUGGUAAAGGAGACCUCUGGUGUACAAUGGUCACACUGAACACUGUCCUGGCACUGAUGCCCGCCUGCCCCCGCUAUAGGCCUUGUUCUCAUUCAUCUGUCGGCUGCUGGCUGAGCCCUGAGGCUCUGCUGGUCUAUGACAAUCAUGCUGCAAAGCCUUCUCUUCACACCUGCACAUUAGAGGAGCUCUCUCCUCCAGGAACAUCGCUAUUUCUAGUUCACUGAGCAAAGAAAAACAAGACAAACAACCAAACAAAUAAAACCCUUUUAAAACCAGCACAAGUACAGUUACAAACUAGCAGGGGUUUUCGAUUGCAGCUUUUUAAAAUUUACCUGGGAACUGUGCUAAACCACUCACGGUGACAAUGAAUUAAGCACCUUUGACAGCUUUCCUGGCCACGGUGUAUCUUAUUUGUCCAUUUAAACAUUAGUGCGUUUGCCAUUAGGUUCAUAGAUCAUUGUUUUCCUGGUGUGUGCAUGAAUGAACAUGUGUGUGCAUGAGUGCAUGUGUGUGUGUGCACAUGCACGUGUGUGUGUGUGUGUGUGUGUGUGUGUGUGUGUGUGUGUGUGUGUGUUUACACAAUGAUUCACGUUAACAGCACUUAGGAAUGUUAGGAGUUUUGCCUUAAAAUUGACUUGGUCUAAUGUUAAUUCAACAAUCUCAGCUUCUUUUAGGUCAGUUUUUGCUUGAAAUUUUUUUUGUACGGAUUUACUUUGAACCUUCAUUGUUCUGUUCCAGGCAUGUUUAGUAUUGUCCUGAAGUGAACCUGAUAUUAUGCGUCAGCACCGAUCCAUAACUGUGAUGACUAACGUGAUUUUACGCUUCUGAUUCACCCCACUUUUUCUUCUCCUUUCCUAUUUUGGAGCCUUUAGAUUUCCUUUAUUCCACCUGUCUUUCACUAGUGGCCUGAGAGAUGUACGCUCUGCUGUUUCUGCUUCACUGGCUUACACGUAAGACUGUAGUGGAGUGUCCCCAACUCCACAGUGACUGGCGGCAUCUUUAACCUUCUUCUGGAUGAUGGAAAGGCCUGGAGAUGUCAACGCUGGUCUCAUUUCCAUCUUUCAUGGAGGUACUUUGGAGAAACUUAGCUUCCAGCUGCUUCCUUUGUGAAGCAGCUCUGAUGCUGUGUAAUUGGAAAGGAUACUCACCUAUCUAAAGGCUAACAUGUUAUGAUAUAUUUGCAUGCAUGCUCACCCAUCACCACAAUCAAGAUCAAGACCACUUUGCUUCCAAAGCCCUAACAGCCAGAACAAUCACAGUUAUAGCAGCCACUCACAUGAUUGAGGGGCUUCUCACAGUGGCUCUGUGAAUGGUAUGCACCGCGAAUUUACUCCUUUGCCUUCAUGUUUGAAUGGAGCACCAGUUGGAUACAGAAUUCUGUAUCUGAACUUUUUCUCAGCAUUUGGAGAGCAACUGUUCUAUGGCAAGGGAAUAAAAUGGGAAUGUUAAAGAGACAUCAGCACUACCCUGGGCAUUGCAACACAAUUCAUGAUACACAAGAUGUAGACAUGACCUGGGUGUCCAUCAAUGGACAAAAUAGAAAGGAGUAUGUCACCAUGAAACACACAUGAUCCAGGAGGCUACUGCAGUAAGUGAAAUAAGCUGGGCAUGGAGAGACAUGUGAUUUUACUUGUGAUGGGGAUCGUGGGGAGAUGUCGGUCAAAGGACACAACAUUCCAAGGACAUAAGAAUAAGAAAUCUAUUGUAUAUCACGAUGGCUACAGUCAUUCAUGCAGAAUACUUUCAAAAAAUGCUGAAAUUAGAUGCAAAGGGUAGAAAGGAUAGCUGGGGUGAUAUACAUGGUGACUGGCUGGAUUCAGCCCUUUCACUGUGUACACUUCAAACAUUCAUACUAGUUAUAAUUCAUAUGCAUGGUUUAUGAUACUUAAAACUUAAAAUAAACCAUGGAAAAAUUGACCUAACACUAAAGUUGCCAUCUCCACUUGGUGCCCUCAUACACACACACUAAAGGUGACAUCGUCACCAGAUGCAGCUGUGCUGGUUAGUUUGAACUGUCAACUUUGGGUAUCUAGAAUCAGUAGCAAGAGAGUCUUAGAAUUAUCUUGAUCUGGUCUUAUCUGUGGGGGAUUGUGUUGAUUAUUAAUAGAUGUGGGAGGACUAAGCCUGUUGUGAGUGCUACCAUUCCCUAGGCAAGGGACCCUGAACAGUAUGAGAGAAGAGAAAGUUAGUUGAGAGAAAACAUACGAGAAAGCAAGCAAGCAAUCAAUCAAGCAAGCAAGCAAAGGCAUGCAUUUAUUUCCCCUUGUUCUUGACUGUAGACUUGAAGCUCUCAGUUCCUCCCUAGGCUUUUUCACAAUAAUGGGCUGGAGCUUAAGGUUGUGAACCCUUUAUUCCUUGGGUAGCUUUUUGUCAGGGUAUUUUAUCACAGCAACAGAAAUUAAAUAGACUAGUACAUCAUUCUGUUGUUGUUGUUGUUGUUGUUGUUGUUGUUGUUAUUGUUUUUAUCACCCCCGACACAAACUCCAUACAUUCAAGCAAUUCCUUCUCCCAGCCCCUGGGAACAAACACUUUCCUUUCUGUGUAUGUGAAUUUGACUAUGUAGGUGCCCAGUGCAAGUGGAAUAGCUUAGUCUGUUUUUGUUUUUUUGUUUUUGUUUUUGUUUUUAUCCAGUUUAUUUAGCAUGGUGUCUUCAGGUACCAAGGCACACGUCAGAACAUCCUUCAUUUUAAGGCUAUGUAAUAGUCCCCAUACACAGAAAGGAAAGUGUGAUCAGUGGGGAGAGAAUAUUUCUGAAGUAGAGAAAGAGAGAGAAAGAGAGAGAGAGAGAGAGAGAGAGAGAGAGAGAGAGAGAGAGAGAGAGAUCAG
rnacentral:lncRNA from 1 species